UAGGCUUUGCCUUUGUGAACAGACCUUUUGAGCAAUUACAAUUACCCCAGUCCCGUUGGAAGCUCUUCUUUAGUUCCAGGUGAAUAACAACUAACACGCAGCUGGAGUCAGUCUGUACCAUUAUUUCAAGUCAAGGGAUUGUCUUCUUUCAGAGUCAGAGAAUAUUCAGCAGAGCACAUUGCAAGAGAGAGGCUUAUCCCUCCUAAGUCUGCUUGUCCUGGGAGGGCCCAUUGGCAGGGCUCUGUCUUACUGGGAGGAGGUCAUAAUGACCAGGAAUAUGGCUGUUCUUAGGUAGGUCGUAUGGAUUCUGGAUAUAGCUGGAGUUAUGACCGCGGCCUUCUUGGACCACACUGACUGUGGGUUCUAAGGAAUAUAGUGAAAAAUGAGUUCAGAGAACAGAUUAGCUUUGGUUGCCUUGUUGUGGGGAAGAGUUCUAUUUAACUGGGUGGGGAGAGAAGCCAAGGAUUUAUAAAUCUGUGGUAAACAUGAGGGUUAGGACUGAGGCUUGCUAAAAAGAUGGAAAACCUGAGGGAGUGUGCUGUCAGAAUCCCAAGCUCUGGUCAAAAUCAAGAGAUUUAAAAUCUCCUCGAGGUAGAGAUCUUAUCAUUGAGCCCAGGGACAGGUUAAACUAGGAGAAGGUAGAAGAGGGUGAUUUAGAAACUUGCAAAUAUCUGUCUGAUUGUUUUCUUUUUUAAACUGGAAUUUGUAUCAACAGUCAGUUGAAGUGUAUGUGUGUGUACCCACUCCCCACCCCGAGUACUUCUGCUUCAUACUAGUCCUGGUGUUUUUUUAAAGCAGAGUUGGCACAAGAAUUUGAUUUCCUGCAUGAGAGAGGAGGGCAGUUGUGGAAAAGACAGUUCACCUUGGAUUCCUUAAAAAGCAACCAAAGAAGGGUGUGUUUUCAAGACAGGAUGUCGACAAGGAUGGCACAUCUGUGUACGGAGACCCCCUGUGCACAGGCGACUUCAUUUCUACAUAGCUGCUUUCUGGAAGUUUGCAGGAAGACUGGCCCUGAGCUAACAUCCGUGCCCAUCUUCCUCUACUUUAUAUGUGGGACGCCUACCACAGCAUUGCUUUUGCCAAGCGGUGCCAUGUCUGCACCCAGGAUCCGAACCGGUGAACCCCGGGCCGGCCCCGUUGGUUCUGAUUGUAACAGAUACUUGCCCAGCAAAAGGAAAUGACCUGCCCAAGGAUACCUAGCAGGGAAUGGCAGAACCAGGAUUUGGCAGAUCUUCUGUCCGGUGGUCUCUCCACAGCACUAGCUUGUGCUUACCCUCGCUUGGCU